rnacentral:rRNA from 1 species
CCUACGGGAGGCAGCAGUGGGGAAUAUUGCACAAUGGGGGAAACCCUGAUGCAGCGACGCCGCGUGAGGGAAGAAGGAUUUCGGUAUGUAAAGCCCUUUUAGUAGGGAAGAAAAUGACGGUACCUGACUAAGAAGCCCCGGCUAACUACGUGCCAGCAGCCGCGGUAAUACGGAGGGGGCAAGCGUUAUUCGGAUUUACUGGGUGUAAAGGGGGCGUAGGCGGCAGCACAAGUCAGGAGUGAAAUGCCAGGGCUUAACCCCGGAACUGCUUUGGAAACUGUGCAGCUAGAGUGCAGGAGAGGUAAGUGGAAUUCCUAGUGUAGCGGUGAAAUGCGUAGAUAUUAGGAGGAACACCAGUGGCGAAGGCGGCUUACUGGACUGUAACUGACGUUGAGGCGCGAAAGCGUGGGGAGCAAACAGGAUUAGAUACCCGUGUAGUC